rnacentral:rRNA from 1 species
UCAUGAUCUCAGAUCAGGUAAGACUACCCGCUGAACUUAAGCAUAUCAGUAAGCGGAGGAAAAGAAACUAACAAGGAUAAGCCGAAUUGGAGCU